CCAAUGAACAGUGAGAUCAUGACCUGAGCCGAAGUCGGACAGUUAAACGACUGAGCCUCCCAGGCACCCCGACAAUCAUGGCUGUAACCCAACCUUGCCAUAAAUGUCAACACCUGCCACAUUGUGUCAUAUUUAUUGUCCAGCAAUAUGCUUGGGGCUGGGAAACCUCAGCCCUGCCACAUUCCUCUUGUCCUCAGGGUUUCAUAUCCACUGGUGGUUCCUCUGGUGGAGGAGGUAGACCUCAUGGAGGGCAGACCACAUGGAAUGAUGGGAUACAUAAGUUCUGGGGUGGAUGCUGACAGAAUGGUUCCCUGCCUGUUGGUUCCCCACUAUUGUCCCUCCCCACUUUACACGGCCUGCCCACAGCAAUCAGGAGACUGAGUACGGAGACAGCACUGACCUUGUGGACACUGGGGAAGUUUCUCAUCCAUGUAAACAGUGGGGAUGUGGAGAAGCAAUGCUGGAGAACUUGGCAGUAGUCACACAGGGGCCUCAUGAAGCAAUAUGGGCAAUGGGGAACUAGCAUUAUGUUAAUGGAGACCAAUGGGGAAAAGCAAACUACCAGGAUUUAAUGGAAGGUUUAAUGGAAGGUUCACAGACACUCUUAAUAGGUGAAAGACUGAAGAGAAGUUUACAAUGAUAGACCAGCUAAUAACAUCUACAUUCAACAAUUUUAACAUCACAAAAAGAGAGACAACCAAAUAUGUGCUUCCUGACAUUAUAUAGUAAUUGAUUUCAUUAUAUCAUCUAUUAAGUAUUCUUAACAAAGAAAAGAAAAAUCCAACCUGAAUCUCAUUCAGCCUCUAAAUCUAACAAAUCAUUCACAGGUAAAG